rnacentral:lncRNA from 1 species
AUGACUAUUUUAACUCCCCCUCUAUCUCUCUCAUCCUCUUUCUCUAUUUCAAUUUCUCUACUCCUAUCUCCCUCCAUCUCUCUCUCCAACUCUCUCUCCAACUCUCUCUCCACCUCUCUCUCCACCUCUCUCCAUCUCUUUCUCCACCCACCUCUCUCUCUCUCCACCUUUCUCUCCACCUCUCUCCACCUCUCUCUCUCCACCCAUGUCUCUCUUUCUCCACCUCUCUCUCCACCUCUCUCUCUAUCUCCACCUCUCUCUCCACCUCUCUCUCCAUCUCUUUCUCCACCUCUCUCUCUCCCCACCUAUCUCCACCUCUCUCUCCACCUCUCUCUCUCUCCACCCACCUCUCUCUCCACCUCUGUCUCCUCUCUCUCCACCUCUCUCUCCAUCUCUCUCUCCAUCUUUCUCUCCAACUCUCUCUCCAUCCACCUCUCUCUCCACCUCUCUCUCUACCUCUCUCCACCUCUCUCUCUCUCUCCACCCACCUCUCUCCACCUCUCUCUACACCUCUCUCUCUACCUCUCUCCACCUCUCUCUCCCCACCCAUGUCUCUCUCUCCACCUCUCUCUCUCUCCACCUCUCUCUAUCUCCACCUCUCUCUCCACCUCUCUCUCCAUCUCUUUCUCCACCUCUUUCUCUCCACACCUAUCUCCACCUCUCUCUCUACUUUUCUCUCUACCUCUCUCUCUCUCUCCACCCACCUCUCUCUCCACCUCUCUCUCCUCUCUCUCCACCUCUCUCUCCAUCUCUCUCUCCAUCUUUCUCUCCACCUCUCUCUCCACCCACCUCUCUCUCCACCUCUCUCUCCACCUCUCUCUCUACCUCUCUCCACCUCUCUCUCUCUCUCCACCAACCUCUCUCUCCACCUCUCUCUACACCUCUCUCUCUACCUCUCUCCACCUCUCUCUCUCUCUCCACCCACCUCUCUCUUUCUCCACCUCUCUCUCCAGCUCUAUCUCCAUCUCUCUCUCCACCUCUACCUCUCUCCACCCACCUCUCUCUCUCUCUCUUCCCCCGAUGCAUUCGAGCUAG